rnacentral:rRNA from 1 species
UACGUAGGGUGCAAGCGUUGUCCGGAAUUAUUGGGCGUAAAGAGCUCGUAGGCGGUCUGUCGCGUCUGCUGUGAAAACUCGGGGCUUAACCCCGGGCCUGCAGUGGGUACGGGCAGACUAGAGUGCGGUAGGGGAGACUGGAAUUCCUGGUGUAGCGGUGAAAUGCGCAGAUAUCAGGAGGAACACCGGUGGCGAAGGCGGGUCUCUGGGCCGUGACUGACGCUGAGACGCGAAAGCGUGGGGAGCAAACAGG